rnacentral:lncRNA from 1 species
AUAAGUACAAAUGGAAGAGUUGUAGAUUAUUGCCAGAGCUGAUGUUAUCAGCACUUCGGUGGCUACAGCGGUCACAGCGGCGGCUGCCACUGUCACCAUCAUUUGUCCCAUGCACCAAACUGCAUGCCAAAGUGGAAUACCGAGAACCGGCUCUUAAUUCUCCUAAUUCUCUAAUGUUUCCCAUAGAUGACGAGGCGACUCCCAAAACUGUUGGCUCUGUGGCUUGUACCGCCACUGCGGUUGACUGACGCACAUGCUUUAUUAAAUCUGAAUAUGUAUGGCUCUGUCUGUCCGUGUGUGUCGUUGUGUGAGAGUGUGUGUAUCUAUAUUUAUAUACAUAUAUUUAUAUAUCUACAGAUGUAUGCUGCUCUUCCUCUACAUCUAUGUGUGUAUGCUGACAGCAAUUUUCGUAUCAAUAUGGGCACAUAAUGCAUCGAAAU